GACAGAGGUGCCAAGCGUUAGGCGGGAUCACUGGGCUUAAAGCGCGUGUAGGCGGCAAUGCAAGUCGGGCGUGAAAUCCCACGGCUCAACCGUGGAAGUGCACUCGAAACUGCAUAGCUAGAGUCCUGGAGAGGAAGGUGGAAUGCUUGGUGUAGAGGUGAAAUUCGUAGAUAUCAAGCGGAACACCGGUGGCGAAGGCGGCCUGCUGGACAGUGACUGACGCUGAGACGCGAAAGCGUGGGGAGCAAACAGG
rnacentral:rRNA from 1 species